rnacentral:rRNA from 1 species
UUGAAGAGUUUGAUCAUGGCUCAGAUUGAACGCUGGCGGCAGGCCUAAGACAUGCAAGUCGAGCGAGAAAGCCCUUCGGGGUGAGUACAGCGGCGGACGGGUGAGUAACGCGUAGGAAUCUACCCAGUAGUGGGGGACAACUAGUGGAAACGCUAGCUAAUACCGCAUACGCCCCAAGGGGGAAAGCGGGGGAUCUUCGGACCUCGUGCUAUUGGAUGAGCCUGCGUAAGAUUAGCUUGUUGGUGGGGUAAUGGCCCACCAAGGCGACGAUCUUUAGCUGGUCUGAGAGGAUGAUCAGCCACACCGGGACUGAGACACGGCCCGGACUCCUACGGGAGGCAGCAGUCGGGAAUAUUGCGCAAUGGGGGAAACCCUGACGCAGCCAUGCCGCGUGUGUGAAGAAGGCCCUAGGGUUGUAAAGCACUUUCAAUUGGGAGGAAAAGCUAAUGGUUAAUAGCCAUUAGCCCUGACGUUACCUUUAGAAGAAGCACCGGCUAACUCCGUGCCAGCAGCCGCGGUAAUACGGAGGAUCCAAGCGUUAUCCGGAAUCAUUGGGUUUAAAGGGUCCGUAGGCGGAUUUUUAAGUCAGUGGUGAAAGCCGACAGCUCAACUGUCGAACUGCCAUUGAUACUGGAAAUCUUGAGUACAAAUGAAGUAGGCGGAAUGAGUCAUGUAGCGGUGAAAUGCAUAGAUAUGACUCAGAACACCGAUUGCGAAGGCAGCUUACUAACAUGUAACUGACGCUGAGGGACGAAAGCGUGGGGAGCGAACAGGAU